rnacentral:rRNA from 1 species
CCUACGGGAGGCAGCAGUGAGGAAUAUUGGUCAAUGGACGAGAGUCUGAACCAGCCAAGUAGCGUGAAGGAUGACUGCCCUAUGGGUUGUAAACUUCUUUUAUAUGGGAAUAAAACGUUCCACGUGUGGGAUUUUGUAUGUACCAUAUGACUAAGGAUCGGCUAACUCCGUGCCAGCAGCCGCGGUAAUACGGAGGAUCCGAGCGUUAUCCGGAUUUAUUGGGUUUAAAGGGAGCGUAGGUGGAUUGUUAAGUCAGUUGUGAAAGUUUGCGGCUCAACCGUAAAAUUGCAGUUGAAACUGGCAGUCUUGAGUACAGUAGAGGUGGGCGGAAUUCGUGGUGUAGCGGUGAAAUGCUUAGAUAUCACGAAGAACUCCGAUUGCGAAGGCAGUUCACUGGACUGCAACUGACACUGAGGCUCGAAAGUGUGGGUAUCAAACAGGAUUAGAUACCCGUGUAGUC